AUUGAGUCUUUUGUCACUUUCAGAUUAAAAGCCUUAAAGUUGGUCUGGAUGUCCUCUAACAGGAAAAUACCAAACAAACCCUCAAAUACAAGCCCCGCCCACCAAGCUGCAUUUGAUUCAACUGUACAGCUUCUAACCUGGAAAUGGACCAAAGUCCGUGAGGACUGGUGUUGUGUUGAAAAUAUGUUCCUCUUCUUUUUCUUUGGGUAAAUAUUUUGUUACACGGAGUCCCCGUUCAUACAGUCUGUCUGCCAAUAUAUUUGUCAAUUAAUUCUAAGAAAAUGGCGCAUUUUGGCGCUGCUUUCUGAGCUGCAAUAGGAUUGGUCAUUAUCCCGGAAGAGUCGCUGGUCACGUGUGCUCCCCCUUCCCGCCCAACCGACGGCAAGGAGCUCGUUAAGCUAAUUGGAUCCCGGCGAAGCAGAGCCGUUCGGUUCUGCUGGAUGACUUCAGGAAGAUCUUCAACCAGUCAAACACUUCCAGGUCUUCCGAUGACAGUAAGAUGAAGACCAGAGCAGACCACUGAGCAGGAGACAGCUUAUCUGUGGCAAGACGUCCUGACCUCAGGAGUGUUUCCUGAUUGGUCUGUGAGCUACUUCCUGUCUCUGUCAGUAGACCUCGUAGAAGACUCUGAUUGGUCUGCAAUGAAAGACCCAGGAGGAAACGGAGGAACAAGUCCAGGUGUCCGUUUGGACUAUUUAAGGCCAUGUUCACAGCACUCUGGCAGAACUGCAGUGAAAUAGUUUGUUUCUUAUUAAUUAUCUCAGAUUCUCUCUUUUCUUCCAUGAGGUUGAGUCCACAUGUGAGGAAGGUCAGGUGAACAUGAAGAGCAGCCAGAAACUCCUGAACACUCAGAUGGAUGAAGCAGAACACCUUGUCCUGCUCACCUCUCCACCAUGGGUAUGGGUCAAAUGCGGAGAAGAAUUUCAUACACCGAGGUGCGUGACAACUGAUGGAACUUUGACUCCCAACAUUGUUUACACACAGAUGACAUAGAUAAGUAUUAGGGAGAACAGGAAGAUUUGUGAGUCGGAAAUUAAACAUUUAAACUUGGAGCUUCAUCAUGGUUUGUGUUUCUCACAGAAACUCUCCUAUCUGGGUUCUGGAAAGUUCUGAAAGGAAGCAGCAGUCAGUGGAUCUGUUAGGUUUUGAUGCUGAAGACCACAGUUUAAUUCUAGGAAAUGUUUUGAAAAAACAAACAUAAACUGAUGCUUUUUAUUGGAUUAACAACAAUCCUCUCUAUACUAUGGUCUAGGUAAAUACUCAAUUCUGAUUGGCUGCUGGGUGUGGUUUAAAAAGUGAUAUACUACACUGAAAUACUGUGCCCCACCUAAAAAAGAAGUUUUCAUCAUGUAGCCCAAAUGUUCUAUUUCAUUGCGCUGGCCUAAACAGC